GCACUUCGUGUAUCAAUUGCAUGUAAAUUGAGCAUCCAUUUCUCCUCGUAUCCAGGAGGUACUUCGACUGGAUUACCGAUUUCUAUUCCAUAAGGGUCUGGAACAUAGGUGAUUGUUUUUCGCGUCUCUGACCCAAGGCCAAAAUAUUGAGGAAGGCCUCUAUCACAUAUCCCUGAGUUUCUC